rnacentral:rRNA from 1 species
AUGGGUAAUUCAAGAAGUAGGGCGGUUGAUCAGCUACCAGAAGAGGACGUUUCUACAGUCCUUACAAGAUCUACAGUAGUUGAAGAUAACAAUGCAAGCAUCUUACCCAUAGCUCAAAGUGGUGUGGACAAUUCAGCUACGGUUACAGAUGGAGAGCAUAAAGAGGAUUCAUUCACAGCUCCGAAUACCAAUGAUUUGGAUUUUAGUUUAAAUGAAUAUGAGGGUGAACCUCCAAAUGAAUAUAUCAAUGGUGGGACAAAUCUACCAGACUGUAAGGAACUUAACAAAGCCUUGAGGCGGGAAACUUACCACAUUAGCAAAAAACAGGGUUUGAAAAUACAACAAGUCGAUGGCCACAACGUUGAACGCCGUGCCCUAGGUGAUAUCACGAAUGUUCGUCAACCUAAACUUGUGAUCUCGGGUACAUCAGAUAAUGCUGCACUAACGGAAGAAGAUCGCAAAAGAGCCCAUAGAAACACCUUGAGGAGAGCUUCUUAUCGUAGGAAAAAAGAACUUGCUCUCGAAGAAGAUAAACUCCGCGCCAUUAAUUUGUCUGACAACGCAACUAGCUCUGCCUAUACAACAUUAUUAUCGCAUCCUGAUACAGCAUUUACUGCUACAUCUACUGAGACAUAUGGUCUGGUUAACGACAAUGAUCAAAAUGACGACAUCAAUGUGUUCCCAGAGCCCAUGAUGGGCGAUGAGCCGACACCAGCCGAAUUGAUGGGUGAGGAGUACUACAUGUAUCUUGACCAAGGAUCCGAUAAUGACGCAUUCGAGGAUGACGAGGAAGCUAGCAUGACGUCUUUUAUAUCUGGCGAGAUCGAGCUUAAACAACCGGAACCAAUCCCAGAGCUUAUGAGGCUAUGGUCCAGCAUGGAUGCAGAUUCCAGACAUUUUCGUGAGAACAUACGGUUCUUCAAUGGGCAUUUCGCCUUCACAACCCUUGGCGUCAGCCUUGAUGAGAACUACACAAACAUGAAUCUGGGGUAUACACAUUCCGGGAGUUUGGGUGCACACAAGGACAACCUUGAUGAUUAUAGGAUAGACCUAAACACCGAUAAGAGGCUUGACCAAAGAACAUAUAAUAGACCUUUGUCAUCUGAGGUUGCUGCAAUUUGGGUUGAGGGCAGCGACCUGGCAAAAAGGUUUGACCGUAGGAUAACACUUUAUGAGGGAAAUAGAAGCUUGUGCAUCUCCGUCAGAGACUACUACUGUUAUAUGCUGCAGACACGGCCUGCAAUCUUCAAUCCCAUACUCUGUGGAGCACGACUGCUGCAGCAAUGGGCUGUUGACAUGUACGUUAAGAUUGAGAGCUGUCGGUUGAGGUGGUACAGGAAGAACCAGACGCAGAUUCGUGCCGACUUGUAUAAAGGAGUGGUUGAUGCCAUCACUUCAGGGGAGACGCGGGCAAGCGCUGUUGGGGUUAGAAUAGUGCUCCCUGGGACAUACCCUGGUGGCGACCGCGACAUGAAGAAGAGACAUAUGGAUGCCAUGGCAAUUCUCCAUACAUACGGGAAGCCAGACAUCUUCCUCACCAUGACUUGCAAUCCUAAAUGGGACGAGAUAACAAACGAGUUGCUGCCUGGUCAGACGGCGCAAGACCGACCUGAUAUUGUUGCUCGUGUGUUCUAUGGCAAACUAGAGCACAUGAAGUACAUGUUGUUCAAGAAGCAGAUCCUGGGUGUUGUAGUUGCUUACUAUGACCGACUCAUUUCCGUGGAGCUCCCAGACAAGCACAAGUAUCCGGAAUUGUAUGCAAUGGUGGUAAAGCAUAUGAUGCACGGACCAUGUGGUGCUCUCAACCCGAAGAAUGUUUGCAUGCAAGAAAACGGUUGCAAGUGCAGAUAUCCACAGCCGUUCAAUGAGAACACAGCACAGGGGAAGGACUCAUACCCAGUGUAUCGACGGAGAGACGAUGGAAGACGUGCUAAGGUCACAGGGAAGAUGCUGGACAACAGAUGGGUUGUACAUUAUAACCCAUACCUACUGCGGAUGUUCAAUUGCCACAUCAACGUUGAGGUCUGCUCUAGCAUAAAGGCUGUGAAAUAUCUUUACAAGUAUAUUUACAAGGGCCAUGAUAAGGCUUCUUUCAGCAUCGAUCAGCUCGAUGCCGAUGGUAACAUUGAUGAGAUCAAGAGGUACGUUGACGCUAGGUGGGUCACACCUCCGGAGGCUAUGUGGAGGAUAUUUGGCUUCCCACUUUGCACCAAUUACCCGCCUGUCUUGCAGUUGCCCCUUCAUCUCCCUAAUAUGCACAGGGUUGUGUUCAAUGCGCAGGCUGACUUGAAGAAUGUUGUAGCCUCCGAAAAUGCUUCAAAAUCCAUGUUAACGGAGUAUUUCAAGGCUAACCUGGAACACCCUCGGGCUAGGCAUAUAUUGUACAAGGAUUUUCCCGGAAGCUUUACGUGGCAGAAGAAAAAGAAGUAUUGGAAGCCGCGGGCCGAGCGUUUUCAAAUUGGGCGCAUAGUGUCUGCCAAUCCUGCCGAGGGGGAGCGAUACUACCUGCGGGUGUUGCUUAACCAUGUUACGGGCAAAACAUCCUUCGACAACUUGCUCACCGUGGAUAGCGUGCUAUGUGGGAGCUUUAGAGAGGCUGCUGAAAGGUUGGGACUCAUCGAGGCAGACAACACGCUCGACGACUGUCUUAAUGAGGCUGAGCAGUGGGCGAUGCCAUGUUCACUUAGGAGGCUCUUCGCAACCAUCUUGGUGCACUGCGAGCCAGGCGAUUCAAUGGGUAAAGACAUUGUUGAUUUCGCUCUUCCAAUCAUAGAUGAUGCGUUUGACCCUACAGAGGGCGAGGCAAGAGAGUUUAUCGAGGAAUCAACCGUUGAGUUUGACAUGGAUGACACAAAAUUGGCAUCUUCACUCAACAUGGAGCAGAGGGCCGCAUACGAUGAGAUACUAGGGGCUGUUGAACGCGGUGAUGGGGGUGUUUUCUUUGUUGAUGGCCCUGGAGGUACAGGUAAGACCUUCCUAUAUAGGGUGAUGCUUGCCAAGGUGAGAAGCCAAGGCAAGAUUGGUAUCGCUACCGCGACGUCCGGUGUCGCCGCUUCUAUCAUGCCUGGCGGCAGGACUACCCACUCCAAGUUCAAGAUCCCAUUGAGUUGCGAUGAUGGAGCCUCGUGCAGCUUCACCAAGCAGAGUGGGACCGCCAAGCUGCUACGGAUGGCCUCCUUGAUCAUAUGGGACGAGGCCAGCAUGACAAAGCGACAAGCGGUUGAGGCAUUGGAUAAUAGCAUGCGCGACAUAAUGGGAAUACGCGACCGACCCUUUGGAGGAAAGACUGUUGUUUUUGGCGGGGACUUUAGGCAGGUUCUUCCGGUCGUCAGAAGGGGGUCGCGGGGCCAGAUAAUUGAUGCAACCCUCCGAAGCUCUCAUCUAUGGAAGGGCAUGCGUCAGCUUCGGCUCAUCACCAACAUGAGGACUCAUAAUGACACGUGGUUUGCCGAUUACUUGCUAAGGGUCGGCAAUGGCACUGAGGAAGUUGAUGAUCAAGGCAACAUAGUACUCCCUGAAGAUAUUUGUCUACCGUCUACAGGCGAGGUUGAUGACCUAGAGAAGCUUAUUGAGCACGUAUUUCCAAGUCUAGACGACAACAUGGCUGAUUCGAAUUACAUGACAUCUCGAGCAAUCCUUUCCACAACUAAUGACAAUGUAGACAAAAUAAACAUCCGCAUGAUAGAGCGUUUUCAUGGAGAUGAAGUAAUCUACCAUAGUUUUGACAGUGCGGAGGAUGACCCAUAUGGCUACUAUGCUCAGGAGUUUCUGAAUGGAUUGACUCCUAACGGUCUUCCUUCGCAUGCUCUAAAACUAAAGCUGAACUGCCCUGUGAUACUUCUAAGGAACAUUGAUCCAGCUAAUGGGCUUUGUAAUGGCACUAGGCUUGUUGUUAGAGGUUUUGAGAGGAACACCAUUGAUGCAGAAAUCGUGAUUGGACAACACGCUGGCAGGAGGGUCUUCCUUCCUCGAAUACCUCUCCGCCCAUCUGAAAAUGAUAUGUUUCCGUUCAAGUUUAAGAGAAAACAAUUUCCUAUAAGGCUUAGCUUUGCUAUGACCAUUAACAAGGCUCAAGGGCAGACCAUCCCGAUUGUUGGUGUCUACCUACCCAAUCCCGUGUUCUCACAUGCCAAACCCAAACCAUACCGCUCUUGCACCCUUGCCACUACACCUAUCUUUGACAUGUCAUCAUCCAACAGCAUCGACGGCGUUGAUGAUCAUCAACAAGAACAAGAAGAUAAGAAGGAGUUGCACCCUGAUGAAGAACCGAACAGAGAUGGGAAUAUUGAUGUGGUUGCUAUCCUUGCCUAUGUUGGUCAGAUAGAAUUUAAGUGGGAUGCAAUAUAUAGGCGCCGCGUCCCUUCUCUUGAAAUUGGCCUCAUGAACUUUCAACGGCAGAUAAUUUUCUUACGUAUACGUGAAGAACACGUUGGGCCUAACUUCUGGCGUUUGCAAUGCACUGACAAUCUGUUCGAGAAGUUAGCUGUAACUUAUAUACAGCUAGAGGAAAUGAAUAAUAUAGACAUGCACGGAUGGAAUGAUAUGGGGCACCUUCCAUCUGCCUUAAGACACUCUUCAAUGGAGCAAGAAACACGCACCGCGGUGCUGAUUGACAAUGCCAUUGUUCGGUCAUUUCCUAAAUAUGAUGUGUUCAACUCUAACAUUUAUCUACUACCAUUUGUUGCCGUGGAUUCUUCGUACGGACUACUUGUAGUCGACAUGGAAUAUAGGAGGGUUCUCCCAAUUGAUCCAUCAAUCGACGUCUAUGUUGGACCAUACAACUUUCAUAACACUGAAACGAGGAAGGAGAUCACAAUGUUGAAACAAGAGUUCAACAAUGUGUUGCAGAUGAGGAUCCAUGGUUGGAAUACGAAUCUCAUGGACUGGUCAACGCACGGCAUCGCUUCAAAUGGCAAGCACAACGACUCCGCUUUCCUUGUCCUACGGGAGAUGGCCCACCAGAAUGGUACUACUGAUUCUGGUAGGAAGACAACUCACGAUUCAAUACAGCUCAGAAAGAACCUGCUGGUCCAGAUGCUGACGAUAAAAAACAAUGAAGCAGCUGGAAACAUACCAGAUGAAAUUAAAGCGGCAUUGAGGGUUUUAAACGACUGA